UACGGAGGGGGCUAGCGUUGUCCGAAGUUACUGGGCGUAAAGCGCGCGUAGGCGGGUUGGUAAGUCCGCUGUGAAAGCCCGGAGCUCAACUCCGGAGGGUCGGUGGAUACUGCCAGUCUUGAAGGUGCUAGGGGGAGAUGGAAUUACCGGUGUAGCGGUGAAAUGCGUAGAUAUCGGAAGGAACACCUGUGGCGAAAGCGGCUCACUGGACCAUAACUGACGCUGAGGCGCGAAAGCAUGGGGAGCGAACAGG
rnacentral:rRNA from 1 species